UCCAAGGCUUUAUUAAAAGCUACUGCUUUAAAAAAAAAUGUAUUU
rfam:TPA: Bos taurus chromosome 21, whole genome shotgun sequence.